AUACGUAGGUGGCGAGCGUUGUCCGGAAUUACUGGGCGUAAAGGAUGCGUAGGUGGAUAUUUAAGUGGGAUGUGAAAUCCCCGGGCUCAACCCGGGAACUGCAUUCAAAACUGUAUCCCUUGAGUAUCGGAGAGGCAAGCGGAAUUCCUAGUGUAGCGGUGAAAUGCGUAGAUAUUACACAGAACACCGAUUGCGAAGGCAGCUUACUAAACUGUUACUGACGCUGAUGCACGAAAGCGUGGGGAGC
rnacentral:rRNA from 1 species